rnacentral:rRNA from 1 species
UACGUAGGGGGCGAGCGUUGUCCGGAUUCAUUGGGCGUAAAGAGCUCGUAGGCGGUUCGGCAAGUCGGGUGUGAAAACUCCAGGCUCAACCUGGAGACGCCACCCGAUACUGCUGUGACUCGAGUCCGGUAGGGGACCACGGAAUUCCUGGUGUAGCGGUGAAAUGCGCAGAUAUCAGGAGGAACACCGGUGGCGAAGGCGGUGGUCUGGGCCGGAACUGACGCUGAGGAGCGAAAGCGUGGGGAGCGAACAGG